rnacentral:lncRNA from 1 species
GUCACACUCAGAGACACACUUGUUGUAUGUGGCGGAGAAGAAGCGUCCCAAGGCUGAGUCCUUCUUUCAGACCAAAGCCUUGGACAUCAGUGCCAGCGAUGAUGAGAUGGCCAGGCCGAAGAAGCCAGACCAGGCCAUCAAGGUGCUUGUGGUGUGGCCAGGCCACGAAGGCCCCGCUGGGCAGCCCUGCAUCACUGUAUCCAGUGGACCUGGGAGGCCCGAAUGUCUAGGAGGCAGGGCAGGGUUCUGAAGGCACUGGGCAUUGAGUGUCCUCUGUUCUCAGGGGGACCAGUUUGUAUUUUAUGAAGACUGGGGAGAAACGAUGGUUUCCAAAAGCAUCCCUGUGCUCUGCGUGCUAGAUAUCGACAGUGGCAACAUCUCUGUGCUUGAGGG